rnacentral:lncRNA from 1 species
GUUAUUUGCAUAAUCUGCAUCUAAAGGGAUAACUAGCCACCUGCUACAUGUGAGAGUAACCUUUGAGGUUCAAAGGAGGAAUUAAUCUAGAACCACCAGGUGUGUGUGAAGAAAACCUUUGCCCCUGUAUAAGUCAAAAGGAAGAUUUCCUCACUCACUGUGAGCAAAACAUUUUUUUUUGCUUCACAUUUAUUUCAUUGUCCAU